rnacentral:rRNA from 1 species
GACAGAGGGUGCAAACGUUGUUCGGAAUUACUGGGCGUAAAGCGUGUGUAGGCGGUCUAUUAAGUCGGAUGUGAAAGCCCUGGGCUCAACCCAGGAAGUGCACUCGAAACUGGUAGACUUGAGUAUCGGAGAGGUUGGUGGAAUUCUCGGUGUAGAGGUGAAAUUCGUAGAUAUCGAGAGGAACACCGGUGGCGAAGGCGGCCAACUGGACGAAUACUGACGCUGAUGUGCGAAAGCGUGGGGAGCAAACAGG